UGCCGUAUGGGAACUGUUGAGUUAUGGCCUGAACCACUGAUUGAGCACCUGGAGGAAAGACUCCAUCAGCCCUGGGAGCACAGGUGAAGGCAAUUCACCCCUCUUAGGCCUUAUUUAAGGGCUGACUGCCCCUGAGGAAGGUUCUUUUUCUAGAAAUUCUUCUCUGGUGGAAGCUUUUCCCUCAGAACCCAGAAUCUUCUGAUAUGGGUGAGUGAUCUUCUUCCCUUCCUUUAUAGCACCUUUCUACUGUGCUGGUCCCGCUAUCUCUUUUGUAAUGCCUUUUCCAUCAUGUUGAUCUUUCCAAUCACUAUGUAUGCCUACUGUACAGUUGUCUGGCUGUGGAGUGGGAACGCCAGAUGGCAACACAAGCUCAUUUCAUACUGGCUCUGACCCUUUAGUUGGACUAUACUAUGUUUCUUGAAGAGGAGGCCAGAUUAAAAGUAACAGUGCAUCUUCCUUCUGACUUUACCGCAACCUGAGGAGUGACUUUGCUGAAGUAGUUGAGCCGAAGUAAUGGAGUGCUGCCGAGGAGUGUAUCAAGAUCAAAUUCCUUGAAGUGAUGCAUUUCUUAGAUUUAUCUUGAUAUUUAACAUGACAUUGACUUUACAGUCUGUGAUGUGCAACUGUAGGGAUGGCUACUAUCAUUUGAUCUAACUGAAUAACUUAUGUUGUCGUUCUGUAGGUAGAUUGAGGGGAAGUCUGCUUGUUCAGAGAGAUUCAUGGACAUUUGCCUUUUACAGAACAAGGAAAAGAUGGUGGUUCUUGCAAAUGCUUCAGUAGCAUUUCACUUGUGACCUCAAGGCUCUCCAGAGCUGAGCAAAGAAGCUGUUCUGCAGUGAAAUCCAUUAAUGAGUAACACUUGCAGAGCAGGGAUUGCCUCUGUAAGAGUGGAACUGUGUUUGGUGAAGAAAGGGGUGGAAUAAAGGCUCAAAGAGAUUUGUCACAGUUAGGGGGGGAAGGAAGAGAAAAUGGAAUACCUUACUGCCAGAUGCUGAGAAAGAGGAACCUCAGGAAGAGUGGAGAAAGAAAGAUGCAGCCUUGGCAGAAUAUGCAAGUCUCCUGGGAUAGGAGGGCAAUGCAGUACGUAAACCAUGGAAAGUGA
rnacentral:lncRNA from 1 species